CAGCAGCCGCGGGAAAACGGAGGGCGCGAGCGUUACCCGGAUUUACUGGGCGUAAAGGGCGUGUAGGCGGCCUGGGCGUCCCAUGUGAAAGGCCACGGCUCAACCGUGGAGGAGCGUGGGAUACGCUCAGGCUAGAGGGUGGGAGAGGGUGGUGGAAUUCCCGGAGUAGCGGUGAAAUGCGCAGAUACCGGGAGGAACGCCGAUGGCGAAGGCAGCCACCUGGUCCACUUCUGACGCUGAGGCGCGAAAGCGUGGGGAGCAAACCGGAUUAGAUACCCCGGUAGUCCCUGUCUCUUAUACA
rnacentral:rRNA from 1 species